CAAAUAGGUUUGCCUGCCGAAACCUCCCGCAACGACGUUAAAAAACUGCGCGGUCUGCGCCCUAUUGGCGUGGGCAACACCGUUUAAGUGCUGAGAAUGCCCGGCGAGAGCCCCGCACAACCAGCAGCCAGCAGUUACUGCCUGGUCCACAGAUCAAUCGACGGUGACCGUUAUCGGUUAAGUUAUGACCGGUCCAGAGCCCCAACGGGCCCUGGAGCCAUGGAACCUGCGRAARGAUCAUU
rnacentral:rRNA from 1 species